rnacentral:rRNA from 1 species
GGGUUGUGAGGUUAAGCGACUAAGCGUACACGGUGGAUGCCCUGGCAGUCAGAGGCGAUGAAGGGCGUGCUAAUCUGCGAUAAGCGCCGGUAAGGUGAUAUGAACCGUUAUAACCGGCGAUACCCGAAUGGGGAAACCCAGUGUGAUUCGUCACACUAUCAUUACGUGAAUACAUAGCGUAAUGAAGCGAACCGGGGGAACUGAAACAUCUAAGUACCCCGAGGAAAAGAAAUCAACCGAGAUUCCCCCAGUAGCGGCGAGCGAACGGGGAGGAGCCCAGAGCCUGAAUCAGCAUGUGUGUUAGUGGAAGCGUCUGGAAAGGCGCGCGAUACAGGGUGACAGCCCCGUACACAAAAGCGCAUGUGCUGUGAGCUCGAUGAGUAGGGCGGGACACGUGGUAUCCUGUCUGAAUAUGGGGGGACCAUCCUCCAAGGCUAAAUACUCCUGACUGACCGAUAGUGAACCAGUACCGUGAGGGAAAGGCGAAAAGAACCCCGGCGAGGGGAGUGAAAAAGAACCUGAAACCGUGUACGUACAAGCAGUGGGAGCACAGGUUUACCUGUGUGACUGCGUACCUUUUGUAUAAUGGGUCAGCGACUUAUAUUCUGUAGCAAGGUUAACCGUAUAGGGGAGCCGGAGGGAAACCGAGUCUUAAUUGGGCGUUAAGUUGCAGGGUAUAGACCCGAAACCCGGUGAUCUAGCCAUGGGCAGGUUGAAGGUUGGGUAACACUAACUGGAGGACCGAACCGACUAAUGUUGAAAAAUUAGCGGAUGACCUGUGGCUGGGGGUGAAAGGCCAAUCAAACCGGGAGAUAGCUGGUUCUCCCCGAAAGCUAUUUAGGUAGCGCCUCGUGAAUUCAUCUCCGGGGGUAGAGCACUGUUUCGGCUAGGGGGCCAUCCCGGCUUACCAACCCGAUGCAAACUGCGAAUACCGGAGAAUGUUAUCACGGGAGACACACGGCGGGUGCUAACGUCCGUCGUGAAGAGGGAAACAACCCAGACCGCCAGCUAAGGUCCCAAAGUCAUGGUUAAGUGGGAAACGAUGUGGGAAGGCCCAGACAGCCAGGAUGUUGGCUUAGAAGCAGCCAUCAUUUAAAGAAAGCGUAAUAGCUCACUGGUCGAGUCGGCCUGCGCGGAAGAUGUAACGGGGCUAAACCAUGCACCGAAGCUGCGGCAGCGAACGUAUCACUUAAAGCGAUUCAGCGGGUUACGAUUGACGGAGCGAAGCGACGUCAAAGCGUAUACAAAGUCGAGUCGGUUUAAGGAUACGUUCGUUGGGUAGGGGAGCGUUCUGUAAGCCUG